rnacentral:rRNA from 1 species
GACGAACGCUGGCGGCGCGCCUAACACAUGCAAGUCGAACGAGCGAGAGAGAGCUUGCUUUCUUGAGCGAGCGGCGAACGGGUGAGUAACGCGUGAGGAACCUGCCUCAAAGAGGGGGACAACAGUUGGAAACGACUGCUAAUACCGCAUAAGCCCACGACCCGGCAUCGGGUUGAGGGAAAAGGAGCAAUCCGCUUUGAGAUGGCCUCGCGUCCGAUUAGCUAGUUGGUGAGGUAACGGCCCACCAAGGCGACGAUCGGUAGCCGGACUGAGAGGUUGAACGGCCACAUUGGGACUGAGACACGGCCCAGACUCCUACGGGAAGCAGCAGUGGGGAAUAUUGCACAAUGGGGGAAACCCUGAUGCAGCGACGCCGCGUGGAGGAAGAAGGUCUUCGGAUUGUAAACUCCUGUUGUUGAGGAAGAUAAUGACGGUACUCAACAAGGAAGUGACGGCUAACUACGUG